CCAUCUUAAGAAAAGCAGAGGAGUAGAACUACUCUCUUUCCUGGCGUCUGUCUGUCUGAUCUCUGACGACUAAAAAGUAAAGGAGACAUGUCCUUACAAAGGCACCUCUGACUAAGCUCUAACGAGCCCCGGACACUCCCUAAUGAAGGGAGCUCAAGAGUAAGGCCAGCAUACGUGCCGGUAUCUUGGAGCUUGGGAGAUGGAGAAAGGGGAAUCAGGAGUUCAAGGUCACCUCUGCUAAAGGAUGGAACCUGGGGGCUCACACAAGUUAGGUGUAUGUAUAUGAACCUGUAUGUGGACAAGCAUGUGUUAUGCUACACGUGUGGAGGUCAGAGUACAAGUUGCGCAAAUCGACUUUCCUUCCACUAUGUGGACUCGAGGGAUUGAACUCAGGUUGUCAAGUGUGGAGACAUGGAACAAGUCACAGAGGAUGCUGGGAAAGCACCGUGCUCUCAAGAGGGACGUUCCUCCAAGAACACCAAGAGCUCAUUAGGACUGAGGAAGGAAGGAGGUGGAGCAGAUAUCAAUUCUAGCUUUAUCCUGUACACAGACAUGGAACAAGUCACAGAGGAUGCUGGGAAAGCACCGUGCUCUCAAGAGGGACAUUCCUCCAAGAACACCAAGAGCUCAUUAGGACUGAGGAAGGAAGGAGGUGGACCUUCCUUCCAAACCAAGUCUAGUCUAAAAUUCCCUAUGCAGUCCAGACUGACCUCAAACUCAAGAAUCCUCCUGCCUCAGCUUUCUAAAUGCUAAGAUUACUGUCAUGAGUCAUGAGUCACUAUACAAAGCUAUUACCUAGUUCUUAUACAGCACAUGAAGGUGACUGCUGUUUCUAUCCUAUUUUACAGAUUAAAAAAAUAUCUUGAGCAAAA